rnacentral:piRNA from 1 species
UCCUAUGUUGCGUUCUCGGAGCU